rnacentral:rRNA from 1 species
UACGGGGGGGGCAAGCGUUGUUCGGAAUUACUGGGCGUAAAGGGCUCGUAGGUGGCCAACUAAGUCAGACGUGAAAUCCCUCGGCUUAACCGGGGAACUGCGUCUGAUACUGGAUGGCUUGAGUUUGGGAGAGGGACGCGGAAUUCCAGGUGUAGCGGUGAAAUGCGUAGAUAUCCGGAGGAACACCAGUGGCGAAGGCGACACGCUGGGCCGUACCUGACACUGAUGCGCGACAGCAUGGGGAGCAAACAGG